rnacentral:rRNA from 1 species
AGGGCGGGACACGUGGUAUCCUGUCUGAAUAUGGGGGGACCAUCCUCCAAGGCUAAAUACUCCUGACUGACCGAUAGUGAACCAGUACCGUGAGGGAAAGGCGAAAAGAACCCCGGCGAGGGGAGUGAAAAAGAACCUGAAACCGUGUACGUACAAGCAGUGGGAGCACGCUUAGGCGUGUGACUGCGUACCUUUUGUAUAAUGGGUCAGCGACUUAUAUUCUGUAGCAAGGUUAACCGAAUAGGGGAGCCGAAGGGAAACCGAGUCUUAACUGGGCGUUAAGUUGCAGGGUAUAGACCCGAAACCCGGUGAUCUAGCCAUGGGCAGGUUGAAGGUUGGGUAACACUAACUGGAGGACCGAACCGACUAAUGUUGAAAAAUUAGCGGAUGACUUGUGGCUGGGGGUGAAAGGCCAAUCAAACCGGGAGAUAGCUGGUUCUCCCCGAAAGCUAUUUAGGUAGCGCCUCGUGAAUUCAUCUCCGGGGGUAGAGCACUGUUUCGGCAAGGGGGUCAUCCCGACUUACCAACCCGAUGCAAACUGCGAAUACCGGAGAA